UUAAGCGAAUAAGCGUACACGGUGGAUGCCUAGGCAAUCAGAGGCGAUGAAGGACGUGCUAAUCUGCGAAAAGCGUCGGUAAGGUGAUAUGAACCGUUAUACCCGACGAUAUCCGAAUGGGGAAACCCAGUAUCCAAUGGAUACUAUCAUUAACUGAAUCCAUAGGUUAAUGAGGCGAACCGGGAGAACUGAAACAUCUCAGUACCCCGAGGAAAAGAAAUCAACCGAGAUUCCCCUAGUAGCGGCGAGCGAACGGGGAGCAGCCCAGAGUCUUAAUCAAUAGCAGUGUCAGGAGAACGGUCUGGAAAGUCCGGCAGUAAAGGGUGAUAGCCCCGUAUCUGAAGAUGCUGUUGUUGUGAACUCGACGAGUAGGGCGGGACACGUGUUAUCCUGUCUGAAUAUGGGGGGACCAUCCUCCAAGGCUAAAUACUCCUGAUUGACCGAUAGUGAACCAGUACCGUGAGGGAAAGGCGAAAAGAACCCCGGCGAGGGGAGUGAAAAAGAACCUGAAACCGUGUACGUACAAGCAGUAGGAGCCUCUUUAUGGGGUGACUGCGUACCUUUUGUAUAAUGGGUCAGCGACUUAUAUUCUGUAGCGAGGUUAACCGUAUAGGGGAGCCGUAGGGAAACCGAGUCUUAACUGGGCGAAUGAGUUGCAGGGUAUAGACCCGAAACCCGGUGAUCUAUCCAUGGGCAGGUUGAAGGUUGGGUAACACUAACUGGAGGACCGAACCGACUAAUGUUGAAAAAUUAGCGGAUGACUUGUGGAUGGGGGUGAAAGGCCAAUCAAACCGGGAGAUAGCUGGUUCUCCCCGAAAGCUAUUUAGGUAGCGCCUCGUGAACUCAUCUUCGGGGGUAGAGCACUGUUUCGACUAGGGGGUCAUCCCGACUUACCAACUCGAUGCAAACUGCGAAUACCGAAGAAUGUUAUCACGGGAGACACACGGCGGGUGCUAACGUCCGUCGUGAAGAGGGAAACAACCCAGACCGCCAGCUAAGGUCCCAAAGUCAUGGUUAAGUGGGAAACGAAGUGGGAAGGCUCAGACAGCCAGGAUGUUGGCUUAGAAGCAGCCAUCAUUUAAAGAAAGCGUAAUAGCUCACUGGUCGAGUCGGCCCGCGCGGAAGAUGUAACGGGGCUAAACCAUGCACCGAAGCUGCGGCAGCGACACAAAGUGUUGUUGGGUAGGGGAGCGUUCUGUAAGCCUGCGAAGGUGUACUGUGAGGUAUGCUGGAGGUAUCAGAAGUGCGAAUGCUGACAUAAGUAACGAUAAUGCGGGUGAAAAACCCGCACGCCGGAAGACCAAGGGUUCCUGUCCAACGUUAAUCGGGGCAGGGUGAGUCGACCCCUAAGGCGAGGCUGAAAAGCGUAGUCGAUGGGAAACGGGUUAAUAUUCCCGUACUGGUGGUAACUGCGAUGGGGGAACGGAGAAGGCUAGGUUGUCCGGGCGACGGUCGUCCCGGUUCAAGCAGGUAGGCAGAGUGAUUAGGCAAAUCCGGUCACUUAAUGCUGAGAUGUGAUGACGAACCACCAAGGUGGUGAAGCAAUUGAUGCCCCGCUUCCAGGAAAAGCCUCUAAGCUUCAGGUUACCAACAAUCGUACCCCAAACCGACACAGGUGGUCAGGUAGAGAAUACUCAGGCGCUUGAGAGAACUCGGGUGAAGGAACUAGGCAAAAUGGUGCCGUAACUUCGGGAGAAGGCACGCUGGCGGUAGGUAAAGUCCCUCGCGGACAGAGCUGAAGCCAGUCGAAGAUACCAGCUGGCUGCAACUGUUUAUUAAAAACACAGCACUGUGCAAACACGAAAGUGGACGUAUACGGUGUGACGCCUGCCCGGUGCUGGAAGGUUAAUUGAUGGGGUCAGCCGUAAGGCGAAGCUCCUGAUCGAAGCCCCAGUAAACGGCGGCCGUAACUAUAACGGUCCUAAGGUAGCGAAAUUCCUUGUCGGGUAAGUUCCGACCUGCACGAAUGGCGUAAUGAUGGCCAGGCUGUCUCCACCCGAGACUCAGUGAAAUUGAACUCGCUGUGAAGAUGCAGUGUACCCGCGGCAAGACGGAAAGACCCCGUGAACCUUUACUAUAGCUUGACACUGAACAUUGAGCCUUGAUGUGUAGGAUAGGUGGGAGGCUUUGAAGUGUGGACGCCAGUCUGCAUGGAGCCAACCUUGAAAUACCACCCUUUAACGUUUGAUGUUCUAACCUAGGCCCAUAAACUGGGUCGGGGACCGUGUCUGGUGGGUAGUUUGACUGGGGCGGUCUCCUCCUAAAGAGUAACGGAGGAGCACGAAGGUUGGCUAAGCAUGGUCGGACAUCAUGCGGUUAGUGCAAAGGCAUAAGCCAGCUUGACUGCGAGAGUGACGGCUCGAGCAGGUACGAAAGUAGGUCUUAGUGAUCCGGUGGUUCUGAAUGGAAGGGCCAUCGCUCAACGGAUAAAAGGUACUCCGGGGAUAACAGGCUGAUACCGCCCAAGAGUUCAUAUCGACGGCGGUGUUUGGCACCUCGAUGUCGGCUCAUCACAUCCUGGGGCUGAAGUAGGUCCCAAGGGUAUGGCUGUUCGCCAUUUAAAGUGGUACGCGAGCUGGGUUUAGAACGUCGUGAGACAGUUCGGUCCCUAUCUGCCGUGGGCGUUGGAAGAUUGAGAGGGGUUGCUCCUAGUACGAGAGGACCGGAGUGAACGCACCACUGGUGUUCGGGUUGUCAUGCCAAUGGCAUUGCUCGGUAGCUAAGUGCGGAAGAGAUAACCGCUGAAAGCAUCUAAGCGGGAAACUUGCCUCGAGAUGAGUCUUCCCUGUCGCUUUAAGCGACCUAAAGGAACGUUUAAGACUAAGACGUUGAUAGGCUGGGUGUGUAAGCGUAGCGAUACGUUGAGCUAACCAGUACUAAUGAACCGUGAGGCUUAACC
rnacentral:rRNA from 1 species